AGCCGCGGUAAUUCCAGCUCCAAUAGCGUAUAUUAAAGUUGUUGCAGUUAAUAAGCUCGUAGUUGGAUUUCUGUUAAUAAUUUAUAUAUAAUAUUUAACAUAUUUAUAUAAUAUUAACAUAAUUCAUAUUACUAUAUAUAGUAUAUGAAACUUUACUUUGAGAAAAUUAGAGUGCUUAAAGCAGGCUUUUGCCUUGAAUACUAGAGCAUGGAAUAAUAUUAAAGAUUUUUAUCUUUCUUAUUGGUUCUAAGAUAGAAAUAAUGAUUAAUAGGGACAGUUGGGGGCAUUUGUAUUUAACAGUUAGAGGUGAAAUUCUUAGAUUUGUUAAAGACAAACUAAUGCGAAAGCAUUUGCCAAGGAUGUUUUCAUUAAUCAAGGACGAAAGUUAGGCGAUCGAAGACGAUCAGAUACCGUCGUAGUCUUAACCAUAAACCAUGCCAACUAG
rnacentral:rRNA from 1 species